rnacentral:rRNA from 1 species
UGGGGAAUAUUGCACAAUGGGCGCAAGCCUGAUGCAGCCAUGCCGCGUGUAUGAAGAAGGCCUUCGGGUUGUAAAGUACUUUCAGCGGGGAGGAAGGUGUUGUGGUUAAUAACCACAGCAAUUGACGUUACCCGCAGAAGAAGCACCGGCUAACUCCGUGCCAGCAGCCGCGGUAAUACGGAGGGUGCAAGCGUUAAUCGGAAUUACUGGGCGUAAAGCGCACGCAGGCGGUCUGUCAAGUCGGAUGUGAAAUCCCCGGGCUCAACCUGGGAACUGCAUUCGA